UAUAAAUUUAUUCGUUUAGAAAUUGCAGUUCCCAUGGAAGAAAGUGACGUCUUCGAGGGAGAAAUUCGGGAUUUCAAGAGAGAUCUUGACCUGAUGCAAGAGACCUUUAGGGGGAAUUUUGAGAUACGCUAGACUCGACCGGCUGAGGAAACGCCUCGCGAUGUCGACUUCAUCGCAUCCGCAGUAGUUUGUCAUUAAAACUUGUAACAUUAGGAAAGAAAAAGCGAGCACAUGUAAAAUUGUAAAAAUGCAUAUGAGUGUGGGAUAGUGUACUCUGGUAAUUCAGAAUCUGGCCAGGAGCCCAUAACUCUUGAUGGGCUCCUGAUCUGGCAUUAUUAUGAAAGGAACUCGCUAGACAGAGUUCAAUUCCGAGGUUCUUUUUUUAGUGUCAUUCAUUGUGUCGCGCAGUUUACCCCGUUACAUGCAUGCGUAUCUAUUCAUAUAGGGCUGCACCGUCAGUUUGUCGGCGGUCGCGCCACUACACUGAACGAGGAGAAUGUUAAGUUUCAUUGCCCAUUAGAUCCUGCCAAUGCAUGUAUUCUCAAUUUUUUCACCGAAAAGUUACUCUUGCGAUUAGAAAUAGAUAUCGAAUUUCUGAGGAAUUAAGUUUUUUAAACUUUAUUUUCAUCUUUUUGGUAGUGUUGAAGGACUGUUCUACAUUCCGUGAAAAGUGCCAUAAAGCCUUAGCCCUACCCCUCCCCAACUCUGUUGUACACCUAUCAUCACUCUCACAUGCAUUUUAUUAUAAAAUUCUUACUAAAAGCUUUAUUUAGGAAGGUGUCUAUACGUGUUUCUGUUGCUGUAAUUUGAUUUCGAAUAUUGAAUUUGUGUAACUUAGAAAAAUAUAAAAGGCUAAUGAAAGAAAUGACUAAGGCUUGUCCUGUUUUUACCCUUUA